rnacentral:tRNA from 1 species
GCUUUCAUAGUUCAAUGGAUAGAACGACCCUCUCCUAAGGGGUAGAUGUAGGUUCGAUUCUUACUGAAAGUA